UACGUAGGUGGCAAGCGUUGUUCGGAUUUACUGGGCGUAAAGGGAGCGUAGGUGGAUAUUUAAGUGGGAUGUGAAAUACUCGGGCUUAACCUGAGUGCUGCAUUCCAAACUGAAUAUCUAGAGUGCAGGAGAGGAAAGUAGAAUUCCUAGUGUAGCGGUGAAAUGCGUAGAGAUUAGGAAGAAUACCAGUGGCGAAGGCGACUUUCUGGACUGUAACUGACACUGAGGCUCGAAAGCGUGGGGAGCAAACAGG
rnacentral:rRNA from 1 species